rnacentral:rRNA from 1 species
CCUACGGGAGGCAGCAGUGAGGAAUAUUGGUCAAUGGGCGAGAGCCUGAACCAGCCAAGUCGCGUGAGGGAGUACUGCCCUAUGGGUUGUAAACCUCUUUUGUCGGGGAGCAAAAGCCGGACGUGUCCGGCUGUGAGAGUACCCGAAUAAAAAGCAUCGGCUAACUCCGUGCCAGCAGCCGCGGUAAUACGGAGGAUGCGAGCGUUAUCCGGAUUUAUUGGGUUUAAAGGGUGCGCAGGCGGAUUUUUAAGUCAGCGGUAAAAUCGUGGGGCUCAACCCCAUCCAGCCGUUGAAACUGGGGAUCUAGAGUGUGCGAGAGGUAUGCGGAAUGCGUGGUGUAGCGGUGAAAUGCAUAGAUAUCACGCAGAACCCCGAUUGCGAAGGCAGCAUACCGGUGCACAACUGACGCUCAGGCACGAAAGCGUGGGUAUCGAACAGGAUUAGAUACCCCUGUAGUC